UACUGAGGGAGCUAGCGUUGUUCGGAAUUACUGGGCGUAAAGCGCGCGUAGGCGGCUUUGUAAGUUAGAGGUGAAAGCCCGGGGCUCAACCCCGGAGCUGCCUUUAAGACUGCAUCGCUUGAAUCCGGGAGAGGUGAGUGGAAUUCCGAGUGUAGAGGUGAAAUUCGUAGAUAUUCGGAAGAACACCAGUGGCGAAGGCGGCUCACUGGACCGGUAUUGACGCUGAGGUGCGAAAGCGUGGGGAGCAAACAGG
rnacentral:rRNA from 1 species